rnacentral:rRNA from 1 species
AUUGAACGCUGGCGGCAGGCCUAACACAUGCAAGUCGAGCGGAUGAAGGGAGCUUGCUCCUGGAUUCAGCUGCGGACGGGUGAGUAAUGCCUAGGAAUCUGCCUGGUAGUUGGGGAUAACGUCCGGAAACGGGCGCUAAUACCGCAUACGUCCUGAGGGAGAAAGUGGGGGAUCUUCGGACCUCACGCUAUCAGAUGAGCCUAGGUCGGAUUAGCUAGUUGGUGGGGUAAAGGCCUACCAAGGCGACGAUCCGUAACUGGUCUGAGAGGAUGAUCAGUCACACUGGAACUGAGACACGGUCCAGACUCCUACGGGAGGCAGCAGUGGGGAAUAUUGGACAAUGGGCGAAAGCCUGAUCCAGCCAUGCCGCGUGUGUGAAGAAGGUCUUCGGAUUGUAAAGCACUUUAAGUUGGGAGGAAGGGCAGUAAGUUAAUACCUUGCUGUUUUGACGUUACCAACAGAAUAAGCACCGGCUAACUUCGUG